AAGAUGGGCGCAUUAGGUGGAGAAGGGAUUUUAACCAACCAGACGGAUGGAUCGAUUUGGAAUUUUAAGGCGAGUCCUAAUUGAUCGAGAUUAGACUCAAACUAUUGAUUGGGUUGAACUCAUUUAGAAUGAGACUUGACUGGGCUAUUAGAUUUUUAAUAGAAUUUUUCAGACUAUUGAUCGGGCUGAGAUUCGAGCUCGGACCGGGUCAAAGAUAUUCUCGAGCUUGGGCCA
rnacentral:lncRNA from 1 species